rnacentral:rRNA from 1 species
CCUACGGGAGGCUGCAGUGGGGAAUAUUGCACAAUGGGGGAAACCCUGAUGCAGCGACGCCGCGUGAGUGAAGAAGUAUUUCGGUACGUAAAGCUCUAUCAUCAGGGAAGAAAAUGACGGUACCUGACUAAGAAGCCCCGGCUAACUACGUGCCAGCAGCCGCGGUAAUACGUAGGGGGCAAGCGUUAUCCGGAUUUACUGGGUGUAAAGGGAGCGUAGACGGCAGCGCAAGUCUGGAGUGAAAUCCCAUGGCUUAACCAUGGAACUGCUUUGGAAACUGUGCAGCUAGAGUGCAGGAGAGGUAAGCGGAAUUCCUAGUGUAGCGGUGAAAUGCGUAGAUAUUAGGAGGAACACCAGUGGCGAAGGCGGCUUACUGGACUGUAACUGACGUUGAGGCUCGAAAGCGUGGGGAGCAAACAGGAUUAGAUACCCUAGUAGUC